rnacentral:rRNA from 1 species
GAUGAACGCUGGCGGCGUGCCUAAUACAUGCAAGUCGAGCGAACAGAUGAGGAGCUUGCUCCUCUGACGUUAGCGGCGGACGGGUGAGUAACACGUGGAUAACCUACCUAUAAGACUGGGAUAACUUCGGGAAACCGGAGCUAAUACCGGAUAAUAUAUUGAACCGCAUGGUUCAAUAGUGAAAGACGGUUUUGCUGUCACUUAUAGAUGGAUCCGCGCCGCAUUAGCUAGUUGGUAAGGUAACGGCUUACCAAGGCAACGAUGCGUAGCCGACCUGAGAGGGUGAUCGGCCACACUGGAACUGAGACACGGUCCAGACUCCUACGGGAGGCAGCAGUAGGGAAUCUUCCGCAAUGGGCGAAAGCCUGACGGGGCAACGCCGCGUGAGGGAUGAAGGUCUUCGGAUCGUAAAACUCUGUUAUUAGUGAAGAACAAAUGUGUAAGUAACUAUGCACGUCUUGACGGUACCUAAUCAGAAAGCCACGGCUAACUACGUG